rnacentral:rRNA from 1 species
CUACGAGACGACGCUGGCGGCGUGCUUAACACAUGCAAGUCGAGCGGAAAGGCCCUUUCGGGGGUACUCGAGCGGCGAACGGGUGAGUAACACGUGAGUAAUCUGCCCUUGGCUUUGGGAUAACUACCGGAAACGGUGGCUAAUACCGGAUAUGACCAUGCUCGGCAUCGGGUGUGGUGGAAAGUUUUUUCGGCCAGGGAUGUGCUCGCGGCCUAUCAGCUUGUUGGUGGGGUAAUGGCCUACCAAGGCUUCGACGGGUAGCCGGCCUGAGAGGGUGACCGGCCACACUGGGACUGAGACACGGCCCAGACUCCUACGGGAGGCAGCAGUGGGGAAUAUUGGACAAUGGGCGGAAGCCUGAUCCAGCAACGCCGCGUGAGGGAUGACGGCCUUCGGGUUGUAAACCUCUUUCAGUACCGACGAAGCGCCGAUGAUGGUGGUGACGGUAGGUACAGAAGAAGCACCGGCCAACUACGUG